rnacentral:rRNA from 1 species
CACUUUCAGUAGGGAGGAAGGUAGUGUAGUUAACACCUGCAUUAUUUGACGUUACCUACAGAAGAAGCACCGGCUAACUCCGUGCCAGCAGCCGCGGUAAUACGGAGGGGUGCGAGCGUUAAUCGGAAUUACUGGGCGUAAAGCGCAUGCAGGCGGCCUGUUAAGUCAGAUGUGAAAGACCCGGGGCGUUAACCUCCGGAAUUGCAUUUGUAAACUAGGCAGGCUAGAGUCUUGUAGAGGGGGGUAGGAAGUUUCUAGGUGUAGCGGUGAAAUAGCGUAGAGAUCUGAAGGAAUACCAGUGGCGAAGGCGGCCCCCCUCGGACAAAGACUGACGCUCAGAUGCGAAAGCGUGGGGACGCAAACAGGAUUAGAUACCCCUGGUAG